GGUUUGGGGAAAUUCCCAGUUCUGUGGUACUAUACCUCAGUUUUAUCAGGUGUUCAUUAAAAUCACCUGAAAAUACUGAGGCUAUGUUUCACUGAGCAUAAGCUUCAUGGAUUCCUU
rnacentral:pre_miRNA from 7 species